UCUCAGUGUACUUCUGACAAUUCUCUGAGUGACUCAAGAGCAGGAAGGUGAAGGGACAGAGAGAGAGAGA
rnacentral:snoRNA from 1 species